rnacentral:rRNA from 1 species
UACGUAGGGGCCAAGCGUUGUCCGGAUUUAUUGGGCGUAAAGAGCUCGUAGGCGGUUCGGCAAGUCGAAUGUGAAAUCUCCACGCUCAACGUGGAGGGGUCAUUCGAUACUGCCGUGACUCGAGUCCGGUAGGGGAGUGUGGAAUUCCCGGUGUAGCGGUGAAAUGCGCAGAGAUCGGGAGGAACACCCGUAGCGAAGGCGGCACUCUGGGCCGGUACUGACGCUGAGGAGCGAACGCGUGGGGAGCAAACGGG